AUUGAACGCUGGCGGCAUGCCUUACACAUGCAAGUCGAACGGUAACGCGGGGCAACCUGGCGACGAGUGGCGAACGGGUGAGUAAUGCAUCGGAACGUGCCCAGUAGUGUGGGAUAGCCCGGCGAAAGCCGGAUUAAUACCGCAUACGACCUACGGGUGAAAGCGGGGGACCGUAAGGCCUCGCGCUAUUGGAGCGGCCGAUGUCAGAUUAGGUAGUUGGUGGGGUAAAGACCUACCAAGCCGACCGAUCUGUAGCUGGUCUGAGAGGACGACCAGCACACUGGGACUGAGACACGGCCCAGACUCCUACGGGAGGCAGCAGUGGGGAAGUUUUGGACAAUGGGCGCAAGCCUGAUCCAGCCAUGCCGCGUGCGGGAAGAAGGCCUUCGGUUGUAAA
rnacentral:rRNA from 1 species